UGAGGAAUAUUGGUCAAUGGGCUUACGCCUGAACCAGCCAAGUCGCGUGAGGGAAGACUGCCCUAUGGGUUGUAAACCUCUUUUUGUUCAGGGAGCAACGCCGGCUACGUGUAGCCGGACUGAGAGUACCUGAAGAAAAAGCAUCGGCUAACUCCGUGCC
rnacentral:rRNA from 1 species